CCCCUGUCCCAUCCCAGUGUCCCCUGUCCCAUACCAGUGUCCCCACGCCCUGUGCUGUGCCAUUAAUGUCCCCUGUGUCCCCUCCCAGACCGACUGUUUCAACUACGUGCGCUUCCUGCAGAGCUACAACAGCUCUCACCUCUACGCCUGUGGCACCUACGCCUUCCAGCCCAAGUGCACCUACAUCGAGCUCUCCGGCUUCACCCUGGACCCGGUGGCAUUCGAGGACGGCAAAGGCAAAUGUCCCUACGACCCCACCAAGGGCCACACCGGCCUCAUCGUGGACGGGGAGCUCUACUCCGCCACCUUCAACAACUUCCUGGGCACGGAGCCCGUCAUCCUGCGCAACCUGGGCCCGCACUACUCCAUGAAGACGGAGUACCUGACGUCCUGGCUGAACGGUGGGGCGCGGCGGGGGCGCGGGGAGGGGACACCAGGGGACACCA
rnacentral:lncRNA from 1 species